rnacentral:rRNA from 1 species
AUGUCUCGUGGUAUGGAAUCGACCUCCGACUCCGAGAUGCCACGCUCGAUUCGACGCUCAACUUCGCCUCCAGAAGGCGGACCACGCGGUCGAGCGGGCAAAACGAAUCUACGUCAACUACUCGGGAUCGCCCAUCCCGGCAGGUCUACCCCAGGUCAGAGCUUCGCGCAAGCAGGCGAUCUCCGCGGACUGCGCGGGAUCAAACUUCACGGGUCACGACACCGGGAGGGCGGAGCAAGAGGAGCCGGUCCACGUUCGAGUCUCCAUCCGGCCGCGCGUACUAGCACGUCGACAGCACCAGGCGAUAUGAGUGUGAUCCAAUCUACGUCGAUGCGCUCCACAUGGGUGUGCGCCUCCAGCCGUUGCACGAACAUGUGCUUGCAAUCUCGGCAGCCCAGCGGUACGGCUCCGGCUGUAUGUACGGCACGCAUCUGCCUUGUCGAGCCGGACCGCAGGCGCCGGCGCGAGCUUCGUCGACUCCACGAUCGAGCGGCAUCGACCUUCAUCCAUCGCCCGUGCAUGGAGAACAGGGAGCACGGCUCCCGUCUACGCCAGCACGCCAUCUCCAUCGAUACAUAUAUGUAA